rnacentral:rRNA from 1 species
CGCGUAGGCGGUCCGUUAAGUUGCUGGUGAAAUCCCGGGGCUCAACUCCGGGGCUGCCGGCAAGACUGGCGAGCUCGAGCACGGUAGAGGCAGAUGGAAUUCCCGGUGUAGCGGUGGAAUGCGUAGAGAUCGGGAAGAAUACCGGUGGCGAAGGCGUUCUGCUGGGCCGUUGCUGACGCUGAGGCGCGACAGCGUGGGGAGCAAACAGGAUUAGAUACCCUGGUAGUCCACGCCGUAAACGAUGGACACUAGGCGUCGGGGGGGAGCGACCCUCCCGGUGCCGUCGCUAACGCAGUAAGUGUCCCGCCUGGGGAGUACGGCCGCAAGGCUGAA